CCUCUCGGAAUUCAAGAUAUUUUAUUGAACUUGACCAGUUGGGAGUUCGAUUCAGUUCACUAAAAGAGUUCGAUCUUUACCAGCAUGGAGUUCGCUCUUAUUCAACAUACAGUUCGCAUAGAGAAAGGCCGAAGAGAGGAGAAUAUUGUUCAGAGCUCGCAGUAGCAUCAAAGCGCGGGAGUUCAGAGUCAACAAGAAAGAGUUCGGAAAGCCCAUGUGAAGCCCAAGAUAGUUCAAAUUCGAGCCGUUUCGGUCAAAAUUAUAACUUACAUGAUUAAUGCGGAUCAAUAUAAUUAUGUACAGUGAAU
rnacentral:lncRNA from 1 species